rnacentral:rRNA from 1 species
UACGGGGGAUGCAAGCGUUAUCCGGAAUUAUUGGGCGUAAAGCGUCCGCAGGUGGCUAAUCAAGUCUGUUGUCAAAGCGCGGAGCUUAACUCCGUACAGGCGAUGGAAACUGGUUGGCUAGAGUUAGGUAGGGGUAAGAGGAAUUCCCAGUGUAGCGGUGAAAUGCGUAGAUAUUGGGAAGAACACCGGCGGCGAAAGCGUCUUACUGGGCCUAAACUGACACUGAGGGACGAAGGUGCGGGGAUCAAACAGG